rnacentral:rRNA from 1 species
CCCUUAGAUGUUCUGGGCAGCACGCGCGCUACAAUGGUCUUCGCAACGGAUGCAUUCUCGAAGGAGAAUGCCAAUCUUGGAAUCUAUGCCUUGGUCGGGACAGUUGCUUGCAAUUUUUCGACUCGAACCAGGAAUUCCUUGUAAUCGUGAUUCAUCACAUCACGAUGAAUACGUCCCUGCCCUUUGUACACACCGCCCGUCGCUCCUACCGAUCGAAGAGUUAGGUGAAUUGUUUUGAUCGAUAAGAUUUGACUAUGGUCAACUCUCGUUGUGAAAUUCUGUGAAUCUGACUGUUUAGAGGAAGGAAAAGUCGUAACA